UCAAAUCCGAAUUGGGUCGAAAACGGUUAUUUUUUCGGGUUUAGUAUAAAAGGUUUUCUUUCCCACGUUUUUGCCCAUUUUCAAAUCACUGUUCACUUUUAGAGAGAGAAACCGCCGAGUUCUUCCAUUUCAGGAGAGAGAAAGCUUCUACUCUUUGAUCUUCUCUUCGAUUUCUUCAAUUUCUGGUUUUGAAGGUGUGAUUGUGAUAUUUUCCGAUUUACUUCAAGUUUCGUUUCAGUUCACAUAAUGAGGUCAAAAAAUGCAAACAAAGCAUCUGAUUAUCACGAUGCUGGGAAGUCGAGUCAAGAUGUUGAAGGCAGUUCAAGGCCGACUGAAGAUAUUCCAGCUAGUCCAAAGCUGAGUGCAGAUGAGAGGAAAAUUGGAAGGGGGCCAAAGAAGUCGAAAGUUAAAGUAGAAUAUACGGAAGAUGGUGGGGAAGUUGUAG